rnacentral:rRNA from 1 species
GCAGUAGCCGCGGUAAUACAGAGGGUGCGAGCGUUAAUCGGAUUUACUGGGCGUAAAGCGUGCGUAGGCGGCUUCUUAAGUCGGAUGUGAAAUCCCUGAGCUUAACUUAGGAAUUGCAUUCGAUACUGGGAAGCUAGAGUAUGGGAGAGGAUGGUAGAAUUCCAGGUGUAGCGGUGAAAUGCGUAGAGAUCUGGAGGAAUACCGAUGGCGAAGGCAGCCAUCUGGCCUAAUACUGACGCUGAGGUACGAAAGCAUGGGGAGCAAACAGGAUUAGAGACCCCCGUAGUCCCUGUCUCUUAUAC